GUGAGGAAUAUUGCGCAAUGGAGGCAACUCUGACGCAGCCAUGCCGCGUGCAGGAAGAAGGCGCUACGCGUUGUAAACUGCUUUUAACCGGGAAGAAACCCCAGGACGUGUCCUGGGUUGACGGUACCGGAGGAAUAAGCACCGGCUAACUUCGUGCCAGCAGCCGCGGUAAUACGAAGGGUGCAAGCGUUAUCCGGAUUCAUUGGGUUUAAAGGGUGCGUAGGCGGAGCGUUAAGUCAGUGGUGAAAUCCUGCAGCUUAACUGUAGACUUGCCAUUGAUACUGGCGCUCUUGAGUGCGCUUGAAGUGGGCGGAAUGUGUCGUGUAGCGGUGAAAUGCUUAGAUAUGGCACAGAACACCAAUUGCGAAGGCAGCUCACUAAGGCGAUACUGACGCUGAGGCACGAAAGCGUGGGGAUCGAACAGGAUUAGAUACCCCAGUAGUCC
rnacentral:rRNA from 1 species